GACGAACGCUGGCGGCGUGCCUAAUACAUGCAAGUCGAACGCAGUGGGGACGGGUGCGUAAAACGUGGGUAACCUCCCAUCAGAGGGGAUAACACUUGGAAACAGGUGCUAAACCGAUACUGAUGGAUGGACCCGCGGUGCAUUAGCUAGUUGGUGAGGUAACGGUGCACCAAGGCCACGAUGCAUAGGCGACCUGAGAGGUGGACCGGCCACACUGGGACUGAGACACGGCCCAGACUCCUACGGGAGGCAGCAGUAGGGAAUCGUCGGCAAUGGACGAAAGUCUGACCGAGCAACGCCGCGUGAGUGAAGAAGGUUUUCGGAUCGUAAAACUCUGUUGUUAGAGAAGCGUUACCUAACCAGAAAGCCACGGCUAACUACGUGCCAGCAGCCGCGGUAAUAC
rnacentral:rRNA from 1 species